GUUGACGUAUUUUUAGGGGGCACAAUUCAAUCCAUGACAACCUGGAAACAAUGACUGGCAUAAAGGAGAAAAUGGCCACUAUGACUGAAUGAAGACUGGUAAUAGCUUAUUCUCACCAUAAGUACAUUCUCACGAGAACAUAGUAAAAGGGAAACCUAGUGAGGAGGUUUAUCUCACAGAAAUUAAGGCAAACCUGUCAAAACCUGUCGAAAUUUUAGAAAAUUCACACACCUGGGAGGCAUCACCUAAGACAAUGCUUGAUCUAUACAAAAAUGAGGUUCCCACUCAGGAUUUUUGAGUUUUAUGCAUUUCAAAAGUUUCCUACCUUGAGGCUAAAUGUGUUAAAAUUGGGCUACCCCCUUUCCAAAGACCUCCAGAGGCAUAAAAAGUAGAUGAUAUACUGUUUGUCCCACAGGUCUUGAAAUGGUUAAUGUUAAUGUGGGAGGGACAGUUUGGAAAAGGACGGUGAGAGUGGUGGCACAGCUUGAAGAACAUAGCGUCACUGAAUUGUACAUGUAGAAUUGUUGAAUUGGUGCAUGUUCUGCUGUGUAUAUUCUCAGCAACAACAACAACAAAAAUAAUAGCAAAGAGUCAAAAGAAUUGAAGGAAAAGAUAAUGUGUUCUAGUCCUUGCAGUUAGUGGAGAUCUAUAGGAAACGUUAAUGAAUGCAGAAGACUAUUUAUUGUUAUUUUAAUUAUUUAAUACAGGUGCUUCCAUAAUCCUUAAAUUCAGUUUUGUCUUUAAGAUGUUUUAAUACCAUUCUCUCUGUUGACUUACAGUAUUAGUUUGCUUCACCUGUUCUUUAAUAGUUUUGGAAAGCUGCAUCUACCUUCCUUCAUUCAUCCACUCAUUCAUUCCAAUUUGUUAAACGUCCCCUAUGUGCCAAGCAUUGUCAGAUUACCUGCCUAAAUUGUAAUGAGAUUGAAUAAGGUAAAAUAUGUGAAAGUGUUUUGUAAACUGUAAAAUGACAUUGAGAUACAGUUAUUAUUAUCAAAUUCUCAAAUAGUUCUUAAUGAAGGUACUUUUAGUGUAACUGCUUUGUGUGACUUCUAAAUCAAAUUUACCAAGAAUUUUGUGUGAAACUUUUUAUAAAAGUGGAAAAAAAUUAGAUUAUCCAACAUUGAAAUAUUUAAUGGCAUAAGCUUCAAAGAAAAAUAAAUUAAUUUUCUUAUAGCUCAUUGGCUAGCAUAUAAUUGUAGAGAAGUUAGGACUGUGGGAGGAGGUGAAAUUCACUCUGCCCUAGGAAGCAAAUUACAAACCUAAUGUCUAACUUAUCAUUUUGCAGGUUAGUGUUUUUAGUAAUAUGAAAGACUGAGUGGGAGACUGUAGAUGACUUGGGGCACCUGAGUUGAAAAGAGUAGUGUAGUUAUGCAGUUCAUCCAUCCAUUUUUCUGGAUAUCUAAAACUUAUGCUUGCGUUCCUGGACCACUGAGGACCAGUAUAUCCAGACCAUAUUUUUUGGUCCUCUUCUAUGGAAGUUGUUUAAUUAAUUCAAAUGUAUGUCGGCAUUUUACUUUUUUGGUGGAGAGGGACAAUAAGAAAUAGCUCUGAAACACAUUGCUCUAUAUAUGCGAGGAUGUUUUUGAGGACUUUGUUUAUUACACUAUAAGCUAUCUUAUGAAGACUCAUGGAAUAAAUUUCUGAUCUUUAUCCCAGAGGAGUUGCAUUCCUUCUGAGUAACUCUUUUUAAAAAAUUUAUGGGUACUGUAAAAAUGGAAACUGAUUGUAUCAUUCUUACUUGCAUUGCCUUUCUGAAAGCUUUGUGCCAAAUUUGUGGCCCUCCUUUCACAACUAUGUAGACUCUUAACUCUAGCUUCUUUUUACUUAAGGCAGUAUAGUUUUGGAGUUACCAAUGCAGGCUUGGGGUCGGAUAGGCAGGGUUCAUAUCUUGGCUCCAUCUUUUAUUAGCUGUGUUCAAAUUGGGCAAGCUGCUUAAUCUCUGCAAGCCUCAAUUUCCCUGUCUGUAAAAUGGAGUUAAUAGUACCCUCUUAGAGUUGUUAAAAUAACCUGAAAAUAAUAGAUCUAAGCACCUAUAUCAGUCCUUGACACUUCUUGAAUACUCAGUAUUUUUUCCACUUUCAUAUUCCCUUUGUUUCACUUUGUCUACUUAAAUAAUUGAUUUUAUAGUGUGUAUUUAUUGUAAUCUACCUGAAAUAUUUCUUGGAACAAGGCAGAGUAAGAAUACAUAAAUGUUGGUUUCUUGGCCCAUUGUAUUUUACAUAAAAUAUAGCAGUUAAAAGCAUUCAUAAUUGCUUUGCCAAAACUAUUUCUGAAAUUACAGGGAUUUUGAAAAUAGGCAUACAUGCAGAUUUGCUUUUAGGCCACUUAACUUUUGUCUCAAACAUACAUCACCCUACAGAUUUUCUCUAUUAUACGUGUAGGUGUGACAGUGGUUUUCUUAAGACAUUUUUGUUGCAACCUCUUAUGGUAAAAGUUUCGCUAUCAUUUGAAAUCCAUCACAAGACCAGGGAAGUGCAUUCAUUAUAGAACUAUUUAAUAAAUAAGUUCUCCAGUUUGAAGAGCUAGACUUUUAUGUGAGGUCAGGCCAGUUGAAGACAUUUACAAAGAAUUAGUUGUUUGUUAUUGCUAUGUGAGUUGCAAGAAUGGAAAAAAAAAAAGAAAUUCUUUCUUCAAUACUUCCUUCCAGGCUGAGUCAUCACUAGAGAGUGGGAAGGGCCGCAGCAGCAGAGAAUCCAAACCCCAAAGCUGAGAUCACAAAGUACCGUUUCUCCAAGUUGGGGCUCAGAGGGGAGCCAUCAUGAGCGAUGUUACCAUUGUGAAAGAAGGUUGGGUUCAGAAGAGGGAGUCCUCUUUGGUGGAGCCCACAGGCGGAGAGGAUGCACAGGAUUCAUAAGAUGGCGGGCGGGAGAAUAUAUAAAAAACUGGAGGCCAAGAUAUUUCCUUUUGAAGACAGAUGGCUCAUUCAUAGGAUAUAAAGAGAAACCUCAAGAUGUGGAUUUACCUUAUCCUCUCAACAACUUUUCAGUGGCAAGUAAGUUAAU